rnacentral:rRNA from 1 species
AACGAACGCUGGCGGCACGCUUAACACAUGCAAGUCGAACGGUAACAGGCCGCAAGGUGCUGACGAGUGGCGAACGGGUGAGUAAUGCAUCGGAACGUGCCCAGUCGUGGGGGAUAACUGCUCGAAAGAGCAGCUAAUACCGCAUACGAUCUAUGGAUGAAAGCGGGGGACCGUAAGGCCUCGCGCGAUUGGAGCGGCCGAUGUCAGAUUAGGUAGUUGGUGGGGUAAAGGCUCACCAAGCCAACGAUCUGUAGCUGGUCUGAGAGGACGACCAGCCACACUGGGACUGAGACACGGCCCAGACUCCUACGGGAGGCAGCAGUGGGGAAUUUUGGACAAUGGGGGCAACCCUGAUCCAGCAAUGCCGCGUGCAGGAAGAAGGCCUUCGGGUUGUAAACUGCUUUUGUACGGAACGAAACGGUCUGGGUUAAUACCCUGGGCUAAUGACGGUACCGUAAGAAUAAGCACCGGCUAACUACGUGCCAGCCGCCGCAGUAACAC